rnacentral:rRNA from 1 species
GAUGAACGCUGGCGGCGUGCCUAAUACAUGCAAGUCGAGCGAACAGACGAGGAGCUUGCUCCCCUAACGUUAGCGGCGGACGGGCGGGUAAGACGUGGAUCACCUACUUAUAUUACUGGGAUAACUUCGGGGAAACGCAGACACUACUGGCUAAUAUAUUGUACCGCUUGGUUCAAUAGUUCAACAGGGCUUUCGUGUCACUUAUAGCUGGAUCCGCGCGGAAUUAUUUAGUGGGUAAGGGAACGGCUUACCAAGGCAACGAUGCGUGGCCGACCUGAGAGGGUGAUAGGCCAACCUGAAACGGGGACACGGUCCAGACCCUACGGGAGGCAGCAGUGGGGAAUCUUCCGCAAUGGGCGAAAGCCUGACGGAGCAACGCCGCGUGAGUGAUGAAGGUCUUCGGAUCGUAAAACUCUGUUAUUAGGGAAGAACAAAUGUAUAAGUAACUAUGCACGUCUUGACGGUACCUAAUCAGAAAGCCACGGCUAACUACGUG